ACGCUGGCGGCGUGCCUAAUACAUGCAAGUCGAACGAGAGCGACCGGUGCUUGCACUGGUCAAUCUAGUGGCGAACGGGUGAGUAACACGUGGGUAACCUGCCCAUCAGAGGGGGAUAACAUUCGGAAACGGAUGCUAAAACCGCAUAGGUCUUCGAACCGCAUGGUUUGAAGAGGAAAAGAGGCGCAAGCUUCUGCUGAUGGAUGGACCCGCGGUGCAUUAGCUAGUUGGUGAGGUAACGGCUCACCAAGGCCGUGAUGCAUAGCCGACCUGAGAGGGUGAUCGGCCACAUUGGGACUGAGACACGGCCCAAACUCCUACGGGAGGCAGCAGUAGGGAAUCUUCCGCAAUGGACGCAAGUCUGACGGAGCAACGCCGCGUGAGUGAAGAAGGUUUUCGGAUCGUAAAACUCUGUUGUUAGAGAAGAACAAGUGCUAGAGUAACUGUUAGCGCCUUGACGGUAUCUAACCAGAAAGCCACGGCUAACUACGUGCCAGCAGCCGCGGUAAUACGUAGGUGGCAAGCGUUGUCCGGAUUUAUUGGGCGUAAAGCGAGCGCAGGCGGUUCCUUAAGUCUGAUGUGAAAGCCCCCGGCUCAACCGGGGAGGGUCAUUGGAAACUGGGGAACUUGAGUGCAGAAGAAGAGAGUGGAAUUCCAUGUGUAGCGGUGAAAUGCGUAGAUAUAUGGAGGAACACCAGUGGCGAAGGCGACUCUCUGGUCUGUAACUGACGCUGAGGCUCGAAAGCGUGGGUAGCAAACAGGAUUAGAUACCCUGGUAGUCCACGCCGUAAACGAUGAGUGCUAAGUGUUGGAGGGUUUCCGCCCUUCAGUGCUGCAGUUAACGCAUUAAGCACUCCGCCUGGGGAGUACGACCGCAAGGUUGAAACUCAAAGGAAUUGACGGGGACCCG
rnacentral:rRNA from 1 species